GUGUAGGCUGGUUUUCCAGGCAAAUCCGGAAAAUCAAGGCUGAGGCGUGAUGACGAGGCACUACGGUGCUGAAGCAACAAAUGCCCUGCUUCCAGGAAAAGCCUCUAAGCAUCAGGUAACAUCAAAUCGUACCCCAAACCGACACAGGUGGUCAGGUAGAGAAUACCAAGGCGCUUGAGAGAACUCGGGUGAAGGAACUAGGCAAAAUGGUGCCGUAACUUCGGGAGAAGGCACGCUGAUAUGUAGGUGAAGCGACUUGCUCGUGGAGCUGAAAUCAGUCGAAGAUACCAGCUGGCUGCAACUGUUUAUUAAAAACACAGCACUGUGCAAACACGAAAGUGGACGUAUACGGUGUGACGCCUGCCCGGUGC
rnacentral:rRNA from 1 species